AUGUCCCACUCCGGGGCCGGCGGACACCCCACCCUCCCCUCCCUCGCCGCCUCGCCAUGGCUUCGCGGGUUUCUCUGUCAGGCUCGUCCUCGUCCUCGUCGGAGCUAUCUUCCCCGGCUUCCUCGCCGGCGCCGCCUCUGGUGCAGGCCCCGCCUGUCUUGCCGCCAUCCCGUCCUCAGCUCAGAUCCAGCGUCGUCACGCCGGUGGUGGGCACGGCCUUCGGUCCGCUGGUCUAGGGCGGGGACGCUGGCCCUUCUCGUCCGCCUCAGGUGGAGGCGGGCUGGUAGACCAAGAGGAUUCGUCGGCCAAGAGGGCCGCCUACUCGCCCUGCCUUCCCUCGGAGGCGUCGCCAGGCCCAGUGCAUCUUGGCUGCGCCCCGUCCGCCGCCGGAGUCAAGGAUGCCGGCAGAGCUUUUCGGCUGUUGCUACAACUGUGGCAAGGAUGAUGGCCACAUCUCGGCGGAGUGCCGGAACCCCAGCUUCUGUGUUCGGUGUAGGGGAGAAGGGCACAUCUCGUGGGGCUGCACCCGCCCCCGAAGCCCAUCCCCGGCUGUGGACGGAUGUGGUGCGGGCGCCGUCUGCGUCGGCGCCGCGUGACUCGCCGCCUUCGGGUCAUGGACAGGGCCCGGAGUUCUCAGUCCCGUUUGGCCCGGCUGCCAUGGCCCCGGGGCACUCGUUGCACGCUCAGGUGGAUCCGGUGGAGGCUUGUUUCCUUGAGGCGUCGGAGGACAUAUGGAUGAUGGAGGCGGAGCUCACCCGUGCUGUGCUCGUCACCGUCACCGGCACCCGCCCCGUCGUGGAUUUGGCGUCUGCGGCGGUCGCGCUUCAUCACGAGUUUGAUAUCGGCCCUGAGGACAUGUCGAUUCGCGCGUACUACCCUGAGGACUUCCUCGUGCUCUGCAAGGAUGGGGCUCUCCGGGAGCGCAUGGUGCGCGCUGGCAGCGCGUCGACUUCCUGGUUCGACUUGAAUUUUCGGCCUUGGAUAUGGCAAGCUCAGGCCACCGCGGCGCAUCUGCCUUUCUUGGUUCAUGUCUCGCUUCGUGGAGUUCCGGCUCAUGCGUGGAGCCAGAGGACGGCAUCGGUGAUCCUGCGUGGCCUGGGUUUCAUGGUGGGGGUGGAUGACAGCACGGCGCGCCGUCUCGACAUGGCUGAUUUCAGAGUAUGGCUGCGAACUGACCGCCCAAGAUCGAUUCCGAGGCGCCGGCUGCUCUACAUUGAUGAACCACGGCGAACGCUAUGGGCAGGCGAGGCGGGCCGGCGCGCUUCUUCUGGAAGGUGUGCUGCCACACUGUGGUAUCCCAUUGAGAUCAGCGUUCUUGCAGAGCCGACAUUGGCGGAUUCGGAGGAGGUGGAAGUAUGGCCGCCACUGCCACCGCUGCCGUCGCCGCCCACUGGUGAUGAUGCGCGGCAGUCUCGUUCUGGUGGGGGUCGGGAUGCUGUUGGCGGGCCCCGUGGCAAUGGGGCAUCAGGUGGUUCUGGCGCUGCUGGACCGGCGGCGAGCACGGCCGGUUCCUCGACGGCGGCACCGCCGGCGGGCAGGCAGGGGCCAAUUCAAAACGCUCGGGCUCCGGUGGGUUCCAGCUUCCGUCAGCGUGCGAGCGAUAGCUGCAUGGCUGAGGUCACGGGAUCAGCGCCCGCCACGCUGGCGCCACACCCUACGGUGCAGCGCUUAGCUCUGGGGCGUUGCACCUCUGUCCACCGUGGCAGCCCGUGGGCCCGCACCCAGCAGUGCAACGCCUCCGAGCUAGGCGCCGCACAUGAGCUUGCACCUCUGAAGCUUCGGUCUCACGGGAUCAGCCUUGGAGGGAUGCGCUAUGAUGAGCGGUACACACCGUAUACCGUGAAGUACGAGGAUUGGGACGAUAAAGACGACCCACUACGGCUCCCCACUUGGGCUUACAAGUGGGAUGUGUUAAAUGAGACGACGGAUGAUCCCUCGGUAAUGUACAAGUUGUACAAGAGCGAGCUGGACGCGAUCACGCCUGAGCAGGUGGAAUGGGAGCCGUAUGGAAAAGGAGAGAGUUUUGGUAACCCUAUAGAGUACAGGCUGAAUCCGAUGUGCAUUAGGGAUAGGGAUCUCUGGCAUAUGCGGUGCCCACUGAUAUGCAACUAGGCGGUUGAGCUUCACCUACCACAUCGGGUGUUCUUCCAGUUUGGUUUGUUCCAGCCACACCCGCCGGAGUGGGAGGACACGGACAAGUUGCUACACGCGUUGGAUAGGAAAAAGCAGCGGAAGAUCAAGGAUUGGGCCAAGCAUCACAGGAAGUAUGUCGUGCAAUUCGCUCUUAGUGUGGAGCAAGCAAGGGCUGGAAAACGAGCCCAGCUUCGUGAGCACUGCCCGAUCGCGUUCAACAACUACCUCACAUGGUUUCUUGCAAGUACCCGCGUGGAGGUAUGCCAGCCGGUGUAUGCUGAGGAGAUUCUGGAAGAACCCACCAUUUUUGAUGAGAUCAAGAAAGCAGCUGAUGAGACCGAGACUAUUCUGGAAACAACCCCGGCUGGCAAAAGCGAUGGGGAAGAUGCACUUCGAGCAUUCAUUAAGCGCCAGGGCCAAAAGUUAAGGUGGCUAUCAAACCUUUUCGGUUGUCGUGACCCCGAGUAUGUAUCACCAGAACGGUCUAGGUCGGCGACAGCAUCAGAUCCCGCUUUGGGGCAGAGCCAUGGUGAACCUUUCGAGGAUGAGGAUGUGGGUGUGGUCACCCAAGAGGUUGCUGAUGAUAUGACCUUGGGGACGUACCAGGCUCGGUCUGCAUACGAGUUGAAGCCUAGGAAGGGAAUCAACAAGUACACACCUGAAGACUUCACCCAAAGAGGCCAAAGAGGCAAAAGGACGGUCGGCACCUCGCGGAUGGCGGCUUUGGAUGACUAUUUGAAUGACGAUGUCGAACCGGAGCCGGAGCCGGAGCCGGAGUGGGUUCCUCUUCCUAGGAAGGUGAAGAAGAUAAGCGUCAAGAGGGGGGAGGAGCCAGCAAGCGUGGAAAGCACUAGUCAUCGUCAUUUUUUUAUAAUGUUGAACUUAGAGUGGAAUUUGUUAUGUCGUUGA
rnacentral:rRNA from 1 species